CCUACGGGAGGCAGCAGUGAGGAAUAUUGGUCAAUGGCCGUAAGGCUGAACCAGCCAAGUAGCGUGAGGGAAGACUGCCCUAUGGGUUGUAAACCUCUUUUAUGCGGGGGUAAAGGUUUCCACGUGUGGAUGUUUGCAGGUACCGCAUGAAUAAGGACCGGCUAAUUCCGUGCCAGCAGCCGCGGUAAUACGGAAGGUCCGGGCGUUAUCCGGAUUUCUUGGGUUUAAGGGGAGCGUAGGCCGGUCUUUAAGCGUGUCGUGAAAUUUUGUGGCGCAACCAUGAGAGGGCGGUGCGAACGGGAGACCUGGAGUGCGCGGAAGGCAGGCGGAAUUCGGGGUGUAGCGGUGAAAUGCUUAGAUAUCACGAAGAAACCCGAUUGCGAAGGCAGCCUGCCGAAGCGGUAUUGACGUUGAAGCUCGAAAGCGCGGGUAUCGAACAGGAUUAGAACCCUUGUAGUC
rnacentral:rRNA from 1 species